UGCUCCUUUGACGUUAGCGGCGGACGGGUGAGUAACACGUAGGUAACCUACCUAUAAGACUGGGAUAACUUCGGGAAACCGGAGCUAAUACCGGAUAAUAUUUCGAACCGCAUGGUUCGAUAGUGAAAGAUGGCUUUGCUAUCACUUAUAGAUGGACCUGCGCCGUAUUAGCUAGUUGGUAAGGUAACGGCUUACCA
rnacentral:rRNA from 1 species